UGACAGAACUUCUUAGAGAUGGCCUCUGC
rnacentral:piRNA from 1 species